rnacentral:tRNA from 10 species
GGGCCCGUAGCCUAGCCAGGAUAGGGCGUCGGACUUCUAAUCCGAAGGUCCCGGGUUCAAAUCCCGGCGGGUCCG